GACCAUGUGACACACCCCAAGCUCACAUCGCCGAUACUGCCGCGACUAAGGAGACGUCUCAGCGACGUUUCCGCGACAUCCCGGCGACUUUUCGUGCAAAUUGAUCGUCAACUUCUCGGAAGUCGCCUUGAUGUCGUCUUGGUGAGAGUGCACGACAUUUUUUCCUCCCGGGUCGCCGCACAGUCGCGGCAAUCGCGGCGACGUCUCCGCCAGUGAGAUACGCCCUUAAGAAAUGGGCCAGUCUGCGAUGUCGUUGUUGUGUCAUUGGGCAAGACAGUUUAUCAUAAUUCCUCUUGAUUGCACGCGGCAGGUCUCCAGUAAGUUGUUCAUAAUGAGCCUGACUUUUCAAGGGGUGAUAAACCAAGGAAACAAACGAGCAUUCAUAAUCUAUUCUUCAUUGACUAUUGAAAUGGGGAAUGGUUUAGGUAUUUAGGAUACUUUUGUGUAUUUUGAUGUUAAAACUUUAGAUAUUUGGGAGUGUUUUGGUGUUAAAGCUCGAUGUUUUUAUAAUUAUAAUAUUUGUGUAAUAUAGACAUAGUUAUCUCCUAAUUAGGAAUUACAACUUAGUCGUAAUUAUGACAUAAUUAGUCAGACUGACGAGAUAAUCAAGUAAUAACGAGAUAAUGUAAUCGUAAUAACGAGAUAAUUAAGUCGCAAUUACGAGAAUACUUCAUGUGGCACUAACUGGUUUCUGUAAACCAUGAAACAAUUAUCAUUUCUUUAUAACACCACGGAAGUAAUAUAAAUAAAAGAAGAUAGAAUGUCACAAUUAGAAAAAUAAUUCAUAAUAAUUAUGUCGUAAUUACGAAAUUAAUAUGUCAUAAUUAUCAGAAACCUAGGUCGUGAUUACCUCAAACUUUAGUCGUAAUUACGACGACUUAGCUAUGUCGUAAUUACGAAAUAACUAAACAGAAAGAAAUGAAUAACAUAAAAUGUCGUAAUUACAAAAUAAUACGUAGUAAUUAUGUCGUAAUUACGAGAUCACUGUGUCGUAAUUACCAGAAACCUAAGUCGUAAUUACGACUUAGCUAUGUCGUUAUUACGAAAUACCUGUAACUAAAUAGUAAUUACGAGAUAACUGAAUAGUAAUUACGAUAUAUAGUUUUUAUUGAUGUGGCGCUAUUUCCCAGAGUACAUGAAGGUUAACCGUAAUGGAACCUGGCAGAGAUUGUAACCGGCUUCCGUAACUGUUGAUUUGAUAAAACAUGUUUUUUUUAUGAAAGAUUUUCAACACAUAUUUUUGAUCGAAAGUUGAGUGUAAAGAUGUAGUAAAUUGGUUUAUUUACUAUUUAUAUCAACGUCAUUUUCUAAUUUCUAAUUUCGAACAUUUUUGUAACUUAUUUAUUACAAACGUUCACACUUCAACUUUUUUUUAAAUCUGAGUUUUCAACGAUAGCAAACUGUCAUUUACUUUAUAAAUUAACAUAAUAAUGUUAGUUUAUGUUUGAAUAAUAAUCAAUAAUAGAUCUAUCGGUUAUUAUCUACGAAAUACCUCUGUUUGAUUCCAUGGUGGAGUCCAGCUGUCCUGGAUGAACAUUAAAUGUAAUAUGACAUCCGACAGUUUCCUUGGAAUUUAAGCAUGUUUACUCUAACAGUUCGUGUGAAUAAAAGUCUAUUCUUGUAUUUGGACACUUGCUUACGUCAGAUUGUCCGAAAACGUGCACGUCUCGAUCGGGGUCAGACGAUUAGAGACAGGAAACGUGACAUUUGACCAAACAUAAAACUGACCACUAUAAAAGUGGAGAGUAGCUGACCACCACCAUUGUUUAAACUUCUGUUGACAAGAAAUCAUACCAAGCACCAUGAGAACUUUCAUCGCUCUCGCCAUCUUGGCUGUUACCAUCGCAUGUGUAAACUCAGAGGGGUGCCGAAGCAAUUCUGAAUGUGAAAACGGAUUAACAAUGUGCGCAGCCAACCACGCCCUGACCUGCCAUAACCGUGCCUGUUACUGCGAGUCUCAAACCACCAACACCGGAAGCACAUGUGUGAACAAAUCUGACUGCCCUUCCUCUGCCAACUGCCACUAUGGUCGCGGUAACUACCACUGUGUCGAUGGAAAAUGCAGGUGUUACUACCAAUAAAUAAAUCAGAACAUCUUAUCAAUUGGAGGCCACCUGGUGAUUUCAUUCAUUCAUUACUGGUUUCGCAUGUUAAUUUAUCUAUUUAUUUAAUAAAGAAUAUAAGAAAA